GCUCUUUAAAUACAACCUCCAACCAGCAUCCGAUAAAAUUGAAAUGAUACAGAGAAGAUUAGCAUGGCUCUGCGCAAGGAUGACACGCACAAAUCAAGAAAUGAUCUAAAAUUUU
rnacentral:snRNA from 1 species